rnacentral:rRNA from 1 species
GAUGAACGCUAGCGGCAGGCUUAAUACAUGCAAGUCGAGGGGCAGCAUGAUUGUAGCAAUACAAUUGAUGGCGACCGGCAAACGGGUGCGGAACACGUACACAACCUUCCAACAAGUGGGGGAUAGCCCAGAGAAAUUUGGAUUAAUACCCCGUAACAUAGCGAUGUGGCAUCACAUUGCUAUUAUAGAUUUUUCGCUUGUUGAUGGGUGUGCGGCUGAUUAGAUAGUUGGCGGGGUAACGGCCCACCGAGUCUACGAUCAGUAGCUGAUGUGAGAGCAUGUGCAGCAACACGGGCACCGAGACACGGGCCCGACUCCGACGGGAGGCAGCAGUAAGGAAUAUUGGACAAUGGACGCAAGUCUGAUCCAGCCAUGCCGCGUGAAGGAUUAAGGUCCUCUGGAUUGUAAACUUCUUUUAUAAGGGACGAAAAAAGGCUUUUCUAAGUCAUCUGACGGUACCUUAUGAAUAAGCACCGGCUAACUCCGUGCCAGCAGCCGCCGUAACAC